CUGGAUCCAUAACUGUUGGAUUGUGUUCAUCCCUACAGGAUCAGAGAGGAUGAGACGAUCAGAGCCAAGAUCCAGAAGAACUGAACUCCCAUCCCCCGAGUCCUGCGGCAGGAAGCGCUCCUUCUCUCCAAGAACUCCUGGACCCUGCAAGCUGGUCCAGAACCAGAGUCCCAGUGAGGAGUCCAGCCAGUCCACCUCUCAGAGUUAAACUAAACUACAACAUUAUUAAAGAUCAUGUUUAAAGUUAAAAAAGGAUGCUUUCAGACUGAAUCCAGAAGUUUCUCAAGCUGCAGUCAAAGCAGAUCAUUUGAGGAAUAUAUAAAACAGUUAUAAAACUGUAAUAAGAAUUACUCUGAAUACUUUCUUUGGACAUUUUAUUUACAUUUCUUUUAAUCAAAUGUUUCUGACUUUCUAUCUGAGUGCUUUUCUCAUGAACUAACGACUUCAAUCUUCUUUCUUUUCUUGUGUAUUUCAUAAACAGGAUAUUGUUGUUUGUACUUAUAUCCUGCUUGAUGAGUCAGCAGUAAAGCAGCCAGGCGUUAACGGUCAGCUGGCAUGUGUAUCUGUUCAUUGGCUCAUAUGUGUAGCAUGUUUAAU